rnacentral:rRNA from 1 species
UACGGGGGGAGCAAGCGUUGUUCGGAUUUACUGGGCGUAAAGGGUGCGUAGGCGGCGGGGCAAGUCUGAUGUGAAAUCCCGGGGCUCAACCCCGGAACUGCAUUGGAUACUGCCUUGCUCGAGUACUGGAGAGGGAACUGGAAUUUACGGUGUAGCAGUGAAAUGCGUAGAGAUCGUAAGGAAGGCCAGUGGCGAAGGCGAGUUCCUGGACAGUUACUGACGCUGAGGCACGAAGGCCAGGGGAGCAAACGGG